GGGAAGACUCAAGGCAAAGAGUUCAACAGCUCCUGUUGUUUCUCCUGGGUCUGGACAAGGGGCAUUCUGUACCUGUGGCUGACAGGCAGGAAAGGGAUCAUCUUUCCAGCGCAGCACUAGGGCUGUGGGAGGACGUGUAAAGUGCACUUAAAAAAAUAAUCAUUAGAGGCCUGUAAUAGGUGUCCCCUUUUGGAACUUCGAUGCUGUGAUGACCGUUUAAGGGGAGAAAAGUGUGGGCUUUAGAGCUUCUUCGCUGCUUCUCACAAACACAGGUUCACUCACAACAGCCGGAAAGGGGUCUUUUGUAAAUAAGAUGUUUCACUUUUGUUGUUGGAACUGCAAUGUCUUUGCUUUGCGACAUGUGCUCUUUCCUUACUAAACUCCAUGCAGGAAUGCUGGAGAUUCAAUGGAUGGGUUUUUCCUGUCUCUCUCUCUCUUUCUCUCUCUGGUUUGUUUUUGUAUUUCAAUUUUUAACUUGAUCUGAAUAGCUAUUCCACAACAGUAUGCGGUAAACAUUAUUUGAAGUUUUAUUAACUACUACAUACAUUGUUUUUUGUAAAGUAGUCUCUUAUGCUUUUUAACCGUAAGUUAAAUAAUUUGUUGUUUGGCCCAUAUGUGUUAAUAAGGUGUACUACUGUCAGAGACAGGCAGAAGCUCCGGACUCCAGCCUCAAACCCUCUCCCUGACACUCUCCCUUCUCAUGGAGUUUGGAAAAUUAUUUGCAGAGCCUUCAAAGGCAUUCAUAAUGCUCAGUAUGUAAGAUACUUACAGAUGUUA
rnacentral:lncRNA from 10 species